GCGCAGCAGGCGCGAAAACUUUACAAUGUGCGAAAGCACGAUAAGGGAACUCUGAGUGCCUCCUAAGGAGGCUGUUCAGGUGUCUAAAAAGCACCUGGAGUAAGGGCUGGGUAAGACCGGUGCCAGCCGCCGCGGUAACACCGGCAGCCCAGGUGGUAGCCACUUUUAUUGGGUCUAAAGCGUCCGUAGCCGGUUGAGUAAGUUCCUUGGGAAAUUUGGCUGCUCAACAGUCAAGCUUCCAGGGAAUACUGCUCGACUUGGGACUGGGAGAGGUCAGAGGUACUCCAGGGGUAGGGGUGAAAUCCAUUAAUCCCUGGGGGACCACCGGUAGCGAAGGCGUUUGACCAGACCAGGUCCGACGGUGAGGGACGAAGGCUAGGGUCGCGAACCGGAUUAGAUACCCCUGUAGU
rnacentral:rRNA from 1 species